UUUCUUUUUGUUUCUUUCCUCUAUCAAAAUGCAACUCCUUUUCUUUUCUUGUUUUUCAUUUUUUUUUUGUCUACUUUCCUUUUCUCUUUUGAAAUGCAGCAAGGACUUUCCUUUUUACUUUCCUUUUCGAAAAACAUCAUCCUGUUCGUCGAUGUUUUUCAUAGAGCUUCCUUUUUAUUCUUAUUUUUUAUUUUUUUGUCUACUUUCUCUUUCCCUGUUGAAAUGAAGCUAGGGCUUUCUUUUUCACUUUCCCCUUUGAAAUACAUCAUCUCGUUCGCCAUCAAGACUACCGAUUAAAUUUAUUAUUCUUUUUGUUGAGAGAUUAAAUUUAGGUGAGGCCAAGGAACAAGAAGAAAGGUAGAGGACCACCAAGGCUACCGAUUCCUCCAUCUCCACCUAGAAAAGAUAAGUAUGAAUACGAUGAAGUUGUGAAGAUUGAAAUUGAUGAAUCUCUCUUUUCCAACUAAUAUUCAGAUAUUGUUUAUAACCUAUAAAAGCUUUUUCUAACUUCAAUCUCUACUAUAAUCUCUUAACAGUCAAAUUUUUUUUUUAUUGCUCCUGUUUGUACGAAUUUCACAUAUAAUGAUUCUAUUUGUGAUGCAAUUUGUUAUCUUGCUGCUAAUAUUUAUUUGUUAUUUUGGGGGUUUUGAAUUUCUGCGAGUAAAGUUUGAUUGGAUUGAAGAUUGUUUAAUUGAUUUUGGGGAUGUAUUUUUUCUUCAAGCUUAGGGAUUAUAAUUUUCUUCAGCAAUAUUUUGUACACUUUUUGGUUGUAAAAUUGGUAAAUGGUGACUAGGAAAAAAGAACAGGGGAAUACAUUUUGAAGCAUAUGAAUAAAAAAACAAUAAUAAUAUAACUUCGCUAUGGGUUGAGCCAUUUUCCUUAAUUUGAUUCAGUUUGUUAUUAGCUACUAACAUUGGUGAUUUAGGUUGUGACUUUCUAUGAUUAAAGUUGGAUUAGAUUGAUGAUUGUUUGUGAUUUGGGAAUGUGUUUCUCUUCAAGCUUAGGAAUUAUGAUUUUCUUCAACUAUAUUCUAUACACUUUGGAUGUAAAGUUGAUAAAUGGUGAUAGUAAAAAAAAAAAAAAAAAAAAGAGAAAUACAUUUAGAAGCAUAUGAAUAAAGUAGAUGGAUUUAGACUGUUGGUGAUUUAGGUUGUGACUUUCUAUGAUUAAAGUUGGAUUAGAUUGAUGAUUGUUUGUGAUUCGGGAAUGUGUUUCUCUUCAAGCUUAGGAAUUAUGAUUUUCUUCAGCUAUAUUCUGUACACUUUGGAUAUAAAGUUGAUAAAUGGUGAUAGUAAAAAAAAAAAGGAAAAUACAUUUAGAAGCAUAUGAAUAAAGUAGAUGGAUUUAGACUGAUUGCAGAUUCGCCCAUUUUGCUUAAUUUGGUUCAAUUAAUUAAUGAAUGUAUGUUGAGAUAUUUAUAAUUUAGAAUCAUAUAUCUUAUUAAAUUAGUGUAUUAAAAUUUUACAGAAAUAAAAUAAAAGAAUAAAGUUACAUAAUAGAGAGAUAGACAAGCAUAUCAAAUUCUAUGCUUGUAAAAAGUGCUUUUGUUAGGUUGAUCAACCAGAGCUGAUGCUAGAAUCUGCACAUGAAAUAUUGAAUAGUAUUAGGCACACUUGUCAAAAAAACUGCAUGGGAGGAUUACCGUUGUUUCUGGUAAGUUUACUUCCUUUGCUAUAUAGAUGGUUUUGGUUGUCUAUUAUACUUUUUAGAUCAUGAGAUAAUUAGCCAUAAAAAAUUGGUGGCAUUGUCUAACCAACAUAUGCGCUAAUUGGAAAUAGUAAAAAUAGUUGUCAAUUCCCCAUAAAGCGUACUGGCUAUAGUUUAUCUUUUGUCAAUUGUUGCUCAUUUCUCUCGCCUAAACUACUGCCUAAAUGAGAAUUUGCUAAAAAUAUAAAGUUAUUUUGCAUGGUUUUUUCAUUGUAUCUAUUUAUCAAAUAAAUCAGUUCUACAUCUUGUUUUGGCAAUCAUGUCUUUUGUCUUAAUGUUUCUGUUCAAUGUUGUGCCAUGAUUACAAUGAACAAGAUUUAUUGUGUACUUUUUCAAUUAUUUGCUUUUAUCUCUAAUAGUCCAUUUGGUUUUUAUUUAUAAACUAGAUCACUAAUGUUUGUAGUUUGUUUUAAAAAUGAUAAUGGCAUUACAAAAGUUGGAGAGUCAUCAAAAUUACAAACAUGACCUCAUGAAGGCAUCAGGAAAGCUUGGUAAAGUAUUAUGUGGGUUAAAGAUUCGUUUAUUGGUUAAUGGCCAGCUGCAGAAGAAUCGUACAUACCUGUAUGUAUUUGUAGUAACUUUUUUAGUUGUGGUGAUUUUGUUCUUUUUUAUUUUUAUUCUCAUUUUCUUACAUUGAAUUUUCUUUCUAUGUUAAUAGAGCUCAAAAGGAAGCAAAAAGGGAAGAAAAAUUGCUAAUCAAACAACUAGAGAAAGAUAAACCAAAAGCUGAAAAAGAGAAAAGGAAAUUAGAAUGCGAGUUUUUACUGCUUUGUUUUUGUUACUUCAUCAUGUUCAUACAUGCAUAUUUUUUCUUCCAUUAGUCUUUUGAAUAUAAAGAUAAUGAUGGGUUUUGAUGUUCAUUUAAUAAUGAUAAUGAUGGGUUUUUUAUCCUAGUUUCGAGGUGAUAGAUGGAGGAUUUUGGAUAAAUAAAGAAGUUUUAAAGGCAGUAUCCUAUAUUUGGCUAUUGUGAUUUUGAGUAACUAAUAAUUUAUUUUCUUGUAAGCAUACAUUGCACAGUCUUAUGGAAAGUUCAUUGCCAAUCCAUCUAAUUACCAAUUCUCAUAUGCAAUGCAAGAAUAUGUAAUGGGGAUUCGAACGAAGGAGUCGAAGCCAUGGAAAUGCGUAAAUCAUUUAUUGUUUCCACUAAACAAGUGAAACAUACAUUGGCUUCUACGGCACAUGGACUUGAAAGAGCAUCAUAUGGCUAUAUAUGACUCAGAUAAGGCUGGCAACUGAAACAGGGAAGAAACGUAUUUUAAGAAAUUAUGCAUUAUGUUAUCUUAUUUAUUGCAAUCUGCAUCCUUUUUGUGUACUUAUGAGGCUUACAACAAAGAACUAAGCAUAUGAGUUGGGUGGUGAUGCAUUUUUCUUUACUUUUGUCAUGUUUAUAGAUGCAUCUUCUUUAUUAUAUUAGCCUUUUAAUUGUAAAGAUAAUGAUGGCUUAUAAUGUUCAUUUAACGAAGAUAUACGAUGUGUUAUUGAUGUAAGGAUAACUAAUUGACCUUAUAGAAACAUCUUACAUGUAGCUCAAUUGCAGCUUCUGUAAAAUUU